AAAAAAGGUAAGCUACUAAGAGCGAAUGGUGGAUGCCUUGACUGGUAAAGGCGAUGAAGGACGUACUAGACUGCGAUAAGCUACGGGGAGCUGUCAAGAAGCUUUGAUCCGUAGAUUUCCGAAUGGGGCAACCCAAUGUAUAGAGAUAUACAUUACCUAUAUAGGAGCGAACGAGGGGAAUUGAAACAUCUUAGUACCCUCAGGAAAAGAAAUCAAUAGAGAUUGCGUCAGUAGCGGCGAGCGAAAGCGCAAGAGGGCAAACCCAGUGCUUGCACUGGGGGUUGUAGGACUGCAAUGUGCAAGAGGUGAGUUUAGCAGAACAUUCUGGAAAGUAUAGCCAUAGAGGGUGAUAGUCCCGUAUGCGAAAAACAAACCUUAGCUAGCAGUAUCCUGAGUAGGGCGGGACACGAGAAAUCCUGUCUGAAGCUGGGUCGACCACGAUCCAACCCUAAAUACUAAUACCAGAUCGAUAGUGCACAAGUACCGUGAGGGAAAGGUGAAAAGAACUGAGGUGAUCAGAGUGAAAUAGAACCUGAAACCAUUUGCUUACAAUCAUUCAGAGCACUAUGUAGCAAUACAGUGUGAUGGACUGCCUUUUGCAUAAUGAGCCUGCGAGUUGUGGUGUCUGGCAAGGUUAAGCAAACGCGAAGCCGUAGCGAAAGCGAGUCUGAAUAGGGCGCUUAGUCAGAUGCUGCAGACCCGAAACGAAGUGAUCUAUCCAUGAGCAAGUUGAAGCUAGUGUAAGAACUAGUGGAGGACUGAACCCAUAGGCGUUGAAAAGCCCCGGGAUGACUUGUGGAUAGGGGUGAAAGGCCAAUCAAACUUCGUGAUAGCUGGUUCUCUCCGAAAUAUAUUUAGGUAUAGCGUUGUGUCGUAAUAUAAGGGGGUAGAGCACUGAAUGGGCUAGGGCAUACACCAAUGUACCAAACCCUAUCAAACUCCGAAUACCUUAUAUGUAAUCACAGCAGUCAGGCGGCGAGUGAUAAAAUCCGUCGUCAAGAGGGAAACAACCCAGACUACCAGCUAAGGUCCCUAAAUCUUACUUAAGUGGAAAACGAUGUGAAGUUACUUAAACAACCAGGAGGUUGGCUUAGAAGCAGCCAUCCUUUAAAGAAAGCGUAAUAGCUCACUGGUCUAGUGAUUUUGCGCGGAAAAUAUAACGGGGCUAAAGUAAGUACCGAAGCUGUAGACUUGAUUUUA
rnacentral:rRNA from 1 species